GCUGGCGUAGCUCAGUCGGUAGAGCGGCUGAUUUGUAAUCAGCGGGUCGCGAGUUCGAAUCUUGUCGCCAGCUCCA
rnacentral:tRNA from 1 species